AUUGAACGCUGGCGGCAUGCCUAACACAUGCAAGUCGAACGGCAGCACAGUAGAGCUUGCUCUAUGGGUGGCGAGUGGCGGACGGGUGAGUAAUGCAUCGGGACCUGCCCAGACGUGGGGGAUAACGUAGGGAAACUUACGCUAAUACCGCAUACGUCCUACGGGAGAAAGCGGGGGAUCGAAAGACCUCGCGCGGUUGGAUGGACCGAUGUUCGAUUAGCUAGUUGGUGAGGUAAUGGCUCACCAAGGCGACGAUCGAUAGCUGGUCUGAGAGGAUGAUCAGCCACACUGGGACUGAGACACGGCCCAGACUCCUACGGGAGGCAGCAGUGGGGAAUAUUGGACAAUGGGCGCAAGCCUGAUCCAGCAAUGCCGCGUGUGUGAAGAAGGCCUUCGGGUUGUAAAGCACUUUUAUCAGGAGCGAAAUACCACGGGUUAAUACCCUAUGGGGCUGACGG
rnacentral:rRNA from 1 species